GAUGAACGCUGGCGGCGUGCCUAAUACAUGCAAGUCGAGCGAACAGACGAGGAGCUUGCUCCUCUGACGUUAGCGGCGGACGGGUGAGUAACACGUGGAUAACCUACCUAUAAGACUGGGAUAACUUCGGGAAACCGGAGCUAAUACCGGAUAACAUGUUGAACCGCAUGGUUUAACAGUGGAAGACGGUCUUGCUGUCACUUAUAGAUGGAUCCGCGCCGCAUUAGCUAGUUGGUAAGGUAACGGCUUACCAAGGCAACGAUGCGUAGCCGACCUGAGAGGGUGAUCGGCCACACUGGAACUGAGACACGGUCCAGACUCCUACGGGAGGCAGCAGUAGGGAAUCUUCCGCAAUGGGCGAAAGCCUGACGGAGCAACGCCGCGUGAGUGAAGAAGGUCUUCGGAUCGUAAAACUCUGUUAUUAGGGAAGAACAAAUGUGUAAGUAACUAUGCACGUCUUGACGGUACCUAAUCAGAAAGCCACGGCUAACUACGUG
rnacentral:rRNA from 1 species